rnacentral:tRNA from 1 species
GUCCCCGUAGUUCAACGGAUAGAAUAGAGGUUUCCUAAACCUUUGAUGUGGGUUCGAUUCCCGCCGGGGACA